GAUGAACGCUGGCGGCGUGCCUAAUACAUGCAAGUCGAGCGAACGGACGAGAAGCUUGCUUCUCUGAUGUUAGCGGCGGACGGGUGAGUAACACGUGGAUAACCUACCUAUAAGACUGGGAUAACUUCGGGAAACCGGAGCUAAUACCGGAUAAUAUUUUGAACCGCAUGGUUCAAAAGUGAAAGACGGUCUUGCUGUCACUUAUAGAUGGAUCCGCGCUGCAUUAGCUAGUUGGUAAGGUAACGGCUUACCAAGGCAACGAUGCAUAGCCGACCUGAGAGGGUGAUCGGCCACACUGGAACUGAGACACGGUCCAGACUCCUACGGGAGGCAGCAGUAGGGAAUCUUCCGCAAUGGGCGAAAGCCUGACGGAGCAACGCCGCGUGAGUGAUGAAGGUCUUCGGAUCGUAAAACUCUGUUAUUAGGGAAGAACAUAUGUGUAAGUAACUGUGCACAUCUUGACGGUACCUAAUCAGAAAGCCACGGCUAACUACGUGCCAGCAGCCGCGGUAAUACGUAGGUGGGCAGCGUUAUCCGGAAUUAUGGGCGUAAAGCGCGCGUAGGCGGUUUUUUAGUCUGAUGUGAAAGCCCACGGCUCAACCGUGGAGGGUCAUUGGAAACUGGAAAACUUGAGUGCAGAAGAGGAAAGUGGAAUUCCAUGUGUAGCGGUGAAAUGCGCAGAGAUAUGGAGGAACACCAGUGGCGAAGGCGACUUUCUGGUCUGUAACUGACGCUGAUGUGCGAAAGCGUGGGGAUCAAACAGGAUUAGAUACCCUGGUAGUCCACGCCGUAAACGAUGAGUGCUAAGUGUUAGGGGGUUUCCGCCCCUUAGUGCUGCAGCUAACGCAUUAAGCACUCCGCCUGGGGAGUACGACCGCAAGGUUGAAACUCAAAGGAAUUGACGGGGACCCGCACAAGCGGUGGAGCAUGUGGUUUAAUUCGAAGCAACGCGAAGAACCUUACCAAAUCUUGACAUCCUUUGACAACUCUAGAGAUAGAGCCUUCCCCUUCGGGGGACAAAGUGACAGGUGGUGCAUGGUUGUCGUCAGCUCGUGUCGUGAGAUGUUGGGUUAAGUCCCGCAACGAGCGCAACCCUUAAGCUUAGUUGCCAUCAUUAAGUUGGGCACUCUAAGUUGACUGCCGGUGACAAACCGGAGGAAGGUGGGGAUGACGUCAAAUCAUCAUGCCCCUUAUGAUUUGGGCUACACACGUGCUACAAUGGACAAUACAAAGGGCAGCGAAACCGCGAGGUCAAGCAAAUCCCACAAAGUUGUUCUCAGUUCGGAUUGUAGUCUGCAACUCGACUACAUGAAGCUGGAAUCGCUAGUAAUCGUAGAUCAGCAUGCUACGGUGAAUACGUUCCCGGGUCU
rnacentral:rRNA from 1 species